UACGGAGGGAGCAAGCGUUACUCGGAAUUAUUGGGCGUAAAGGGCGCGUAGGCGAUUUGAAAAGUCUUGUGUGAAAGCCCCGAGCUUAACUCGGGAAGUGCACAAGAAACUGUUGAAUUUGAGUUCCGGAGAGGAAGGCAGAAUUCCCGGUGUAGCGGUGAAAUGCGUAGAUAUCGGGAGGAAUACCAGUGGCGAAGGCGGCCUUCUGGACGGAUACUGACGCUGAGGUGCGAAAGCCAGGGGAGCAAACGGG
rnacentral:rRNA from 1 species